CUUGCUCCCGGAUGUUAGCGGCGGACGGGUGAGUAACACGUGGGUAACCUGCCUGUAAGACUGGGAUAACUCCGGGAAACCGGAGCUAAUACCGGAUAGUUCCUUGAACCGCAUGGUUCAAGGAUGAAAGACGGUUUCGGCUGUCACUUACAGAUGGACCCGCGGCGCAUUAGCUAGUUGGUGGGGUAAUGGCUCACCAAGGCGACGAUGCGUACCCGACCUGAGAGGGUGAUCGGCCACACUGGGACUGAGACACGGCCCAGACUCCUACGGGAGGCAGCAGUAGGGAAUCUUCCGCAAUGGACGAAAGUCUGACGGAGCAACGCCGCGUGAGUGAUGAAGGUUUUCGGAUCGUAAAGCUCUGUUGUUAGGGAAAAACAAGUGCGAGAGUAACUGCUCGCACCUUGACGGUACCUAACCAGAAAGCCACGGCUAACUACGUGCCAGCAGCCGCGGUAAUACGUAGGUGGCAAGCGUUGUCCGGAAUUAUUGGGCGUAAAGGGCUCGCAGGCGGUUUCUUAAGUCUGAUGUGAAAGCCCCCGGCUCAACCGGGGAGGGUCAUUGGAAACUGGGAAACUUGAGUGCAGAAGAGGAGAGUGGAAUUCCACGUGUAGCGGUGAAAUGCGUAGAGAUGUGGAGGAACACCAGUGGCGAAGGCGACUCUCUGGUCUGUAACUGACGCUGAGGAGCGAAAGCGUGGGGAGCGAACAGGAUUAUAUACCCUGGUAGUCCACGCCGUAAACGAUGAGUGCUAAGUGUUAGGGGGGUCUCCGCCCCUUAGUGCUGCAGCUAACGCAUUAAGCACUCC
rnacentral:rRNA from 1 species